rnacentral:rRNA from 1 species
AGAGAGAGACAUGCGCGCAUAUCAAUAAGCGGAGGAAAAGAAACUAACUAAGGAUUCCCUCAGUAACGGCGAGUGAAGCGGGAAGAGCUCAAAUUUGAAAUCUUCAAGGUUCUACCUUGACGAAUUGUAGUUUAAAGAAGUGUUUUCUGCUUGAAGUUUUGGUAAAAGUUCUUUGGAAUAGGACAUCAUAGAGGGUGAGAAUCCCGUAUUUGACCAUUAUUUUCAGCUGUGUGAUACACUUUCAAAGAGUCGGAUUGUUUGGGAAUGCAGUCCAAAAUGGGUGGUAAAUUUCAUCUAAAGCUAGAUACUGGCGAGAGACCGAUAGCGAACAAGUACCGUGAGGGAAAGAUGAAAAGAACUUUGAAAGGAGAGUUAAACAGUACGUGAAAUUGUCAAAAGGGAAGCGUUUGACACCAGUGUUGUUUUCUCGAAAAUCAAUUAAAAAGAGUUAGAUUUUGUUGUGUAUUGACCUUUAUCAGCUUUGCACUUCAUUUUCUUGUCUUUUUUAAUGCACUUUUCGUUUAACAAGUCAACAUCAAUUUCAUUUUGUUGUAAAAAGGGUCAUUGGAAGGUGGCUUUCUUUUCGGAGAAAGUGUUUAUAGCCUUUGACCUCUGCAAUCGGAGAGACUGAGGUCUGCAGCGUAGAUCCUUCGGGGUUAGAUACAUUUGUGCUAAGUUAUAGCCUUUCAUAGACAACUUGUUGACUAUGAUCAGUCAUGUAGCUUACUCGCUUAUGCUAUUUUACCUACGCUUAGGAUGUUGAUGUGAUACUGCGAGCA